rnacentral:lncRNA from 1 species
CCCACAUUAGCAGAUGAUCAAUAACAUUAACGAAGUGCAUAUCAAAACCACAGUGAUCUACCACUUUGUGCCCUUAGGAUGGGUCAUCAGACAAUUAACAAAAGGAACUGCAUUUGUAUUCAUUUAUUUCUUUGGUUUGGUUUGGUGUUUUAUUUUUCCCAGACAGGGAGAGUUUCUCUGUGUAAUCCUGGCUGUCCUGGAACUUACUGUAGACCAAAAUCAGAGAUCUGCCAGUGUCUGCCUCCUGAAUGCUAAGAUUAAAGGUGUGUGCCACCAUUAACUUUUCUUAUCACGGUGACCAAAAUGCCUGUCAGAAGAAACUCAAGGGAAGAAGGAGUUGUUUUGAGAAUACAGUCAGUCCAUCAGGGAAAGAAAGACAUGAUGGCUGGGCUGACUUCUGUCUAUGGUAUCAGGAGCUUUUGAAACCCAUUAUUACAUUUCAGCAGAUCAGAAAGCAGGAAGCUAGACCAACUUGUCACCCUCCAAGCCCACCCCUAUGCUCUGCACUUGCCAGCUAGGUUCCACAUCUAAGUAUUUCUUCAGUCUUCUCAUGCCCUGUUUACUCACAGUUUCUAUUGCUGUGAAGAGACGCCAUGACUCUUAUAAAGGAAACCAUUUAACUGGGGCUGGCUUACAGUUUCAAAGAUUUAGUCCAUUAUCAUCAUGGUCAGAAACAUGUUGGCAUGGAGUCAGACAGGGUGCUGGAGAAGUCGCAGAGAGUUCUACAUCUGGAUCUACAGGCAGCAGAGGGGGGGCGCAGGCAGACAGACACUGGUCUGGCUUGAGCUUUUGAAACCCCAAAGCCCACCCUAAGUGACACACUUUCCUAGGCCACACCUCCUAUGGGCUACCCUCUAGGGGCCUAUGGAAGCCAUUUUUAAUCAAACCACCACAUUCCCCAAAAGAGGCAGUUACCACAAGCCAUCUUGCCACAUUUUCCCCCAGUUUCUCAAGCCUGGGUUCAAAUAAAGUCAUGUCUGUUACCUUUGUAGGCCCAAGGGUUGAGCAAUCACAGUAGACACUGAAGUUGUGUCUGAUUAAGUCUCUCAACUGAUUACUGGCGUGCUCUCUGAAUGUAAUCAGAGGGUUAGCAAGACCCAUGAUCCUGGGAUUCUUCCAGCACAAGCUGUUGGUGGCCCCGUGUUCAAAGCAUUGGGGACAUUUCCAACAUGUCUUGGUUACUGAUCUAUUGCUCUGAAAAGACACCGUGAUCAAGACGAUUUAUAAAGUAAAGCUUUUAACUUGGGGUUUGCUUAUAGUUCCAGAGGGUAAGUUUAUGACCCUCAUGACAUGGUAUCUUGAUAAGAGACUAGUAAUAUAGUUUAGCUAGCCCAAUAGAUCUAAAAUGUUACCAUUUCAUCACUCAGUAUAAAAACAUAUAUUUAAUGUCCCUUUCUUUAGGUGUGUGUGUGUGUGUGUGUGUGUGUGUGUGUGCCUGAGUGUGAGCACUUGUUGUACCAGUUCUAGAAAUGGGGCUCAAGUAAUCUUUAAGAGCACUGCUUGCUCUUAAUCUCAAAUCAUCUCUCUAGCCCUCAUAUUCCUCUUUUUUUUUUUUUUGUAAUGUAGUAUGUAACUUACACUUAAGAGCACAUACCAUUUAGACUAGCCCAAGUGCAAUUGCUUAAUGAUAACAUGUGGCUAGGAGCUACCCCAUCAGACCACACAGUUGUAGUUCUUCACAGAAGAUUCUGCGAAGACGGAACAGUCACCAAAUUGCAGGAACCUUCUUGGUGGUUUUCAUCCUGAUCCUUCACGGAGUUUCCAACACCAUCAUUUCCAGGCUCCUCUGAGGUCCACCAAGGCAAGACACAGCCAAGAACGCUGCAGAGAAGAGGAGGCCCCGUUCCAUGAGCCGCCUCUGCCAGUCCUAUGUUGACCCCACACAGCCUUUCUAAGGUGCAAGUUCAGACUCUCAAACUUACCAGGUACAUGUCUCAUUUAAAAAGAUAUGGAGAUUAUUAUAAUCCCAACUUACAGAAUCUCUGUGAGGACUGCAUGUGAUGACAUAUACAAAAUGCCACAUAGAGAAUGCAAAGUCAGCAUGCUUUAGAAUUAGCUUAUUAUGAACCGACAUCAUUAAUCAUCUCUCAACUUUAACACAGAGCCUGGCCCACAUCAGAUUCAUGGAAAACAUCUAUCUCCACAAGGGAACCUUAUGCCAGUGAGCUGACUCCUGGAUCCUAACUCUGACACGGUCAUUUCACUUCCACUGGUUGGGAUGUACCCUCCCACAGCUGGUAGGCAUCCCCAGGAGCAUCCACCACAGCCUGCCUUUGGCUUUCGGUUCAUAGCAAGUUCUUCCCUGUGGUGUCAUUCCAAAUAGUUAAAGACUCUCUCUGAGGUCUCUCACGUUCUCCUGUUUCCCUAGCCUGUACAUCUUUGGUUUCUUCAGCUCUCCUUUAUUUAACAGAUUGUCCGGCUCUAAGCCUCCUAAAAUGAGGCAGACUGAACUGGAAAGAGACUUUGAUCGUCCCAACAUUUGGACUUCCUCAACACCUUUGUGGUCAGACCAUCUCACACUUUGUCUGUGGUGUGCUCGUAGCCCUAUCUUGGAUUUGUAUCACUGAUGUUUAAUUAUUGCCUUAUAAUUAUGUGUGCCGUAUACCCUAUCCCCUGUCCGCACUUUCCCUUUGUGUUGUUUUGGUUACCUGUGCUCCCUGAGUCUGAAAAUAGUAAAUGAAAAACUCCAUAAUAAAAGCCAUAAAUUCUGAACGGUGCACUGUUCCAAGAAGCCUGAUAAAAUCUCACACCAUCCUGCGCCAACCUGCACGGGGCACGGGGCAUCGUCAUCCAACACACCCACCCUGUGUAUGCUGCCCGCCCAACAGUCAUUAGUGGCUAUCUCAGCUGUCAGAUCAACUGUCACAGUGUCCCAGCACUAGGGUUUAAGUGGCCAUUAUCAUACUUAAGAAUGGCCCAGGGCAUGGAACCAGUGAGCUAAAAAUUUGGAUGUGUCAAAGAGAAGCUU